UACGUAGGGGGCAAGCGUUGUCCGGAUUUAUUGGGCGUAAAGAGCGUGUAGGCGGUUCGGUAGGUCCGUUGUGAAAACUCGAGGCUCAACCUCGAGACGCCGAUGGAAACCCUCGAACUAGAGUCCGGAAGAGGAGAGUGGAAUUCCUGGUGUGGCGGUGAAAUGCGCAGAUAUCAGGAAGAACACCCGUGGCUAAGGCGGCUCUCUAGUACGGUACUGACGCUGAGACGCGAAAGCGUGGGGAGCGAACAGG
rnacentral:rRNA from 1 species